rnacentral:tRNA from 1 species
GCCCGGGUGGCGGAAUUGGCAGACGCGCAGGACUCAGGAUCCUGUGGGCUUUCGCCCGUGCGGGUUCAAAUCCCGCCCCGGGCA